AGAGAAAGACAGACUGAUCCUGUAACCUCUAUGGUCCAAGCACUUUGAAUUGUAUCAGAGAGCUGAAUAUAUAAAACACUUGCGUUGGACAGGUCUGGAAACCAAAGAAUGCUUGACCCCAGAGUGAAACGCUCGGACUUUGGCUUCACCACAGAUGAGCCCCAUCAACUCCCUCACGACUGACUGCAUGUUGGCAGCAUCUGACGACCUGUGAUAAAUUGCCACCAGGUUCCAUAUGCUAACAUUAUGCCAACCUAACCUUCCUGGGCAGACAACCCUAGCAAUGUGUCCUGGAGCCCUGCUUCCCCAGAGCCCUGCCCCACUAGGGAAAGAGAGUUACAGGCUAGGAGUAUGGAUCAGCCUGCCAACGCCCAUGUUCAGCAGAGAAGCAAUUACAGAAGCCAGACCUUCCACCUUCUGCAUCCCACAAUGACCUGGGGUCCAUACUCCCGGAGAGAUAAAGAAUAAGAAAGCUAUCAGGGGAGGGGAGGGGUUACAGAGAUCUGGUGGUGGGAAUUGUGUGGAGUUGUACCCCUCUUAUCCUAUGGUUUUUGUCAAUGUUUCCUUUUUAUAAAUAAAAAUUU